rnacentral:RNase_MRP_RNA from 1 species
GCGCUGUCCGAAGAACCGCUUUCGCAGCUCCCGCACAAGAAGGCACCCGCCCUUCUCCCCUGCAGCUGUGGGGAAAGUCCCCGGAGAUGCAGAACGUGUCCCGCGCCCGCACCGGAAAGCAGCCGCCCCCAAGCACGGCGGCGGGGCGCGGGACGGCCGGACGCUCCUGCUCCCUCGUGGGGCUCGCGUCCAGGGCCAUUCUGCAGCGCGUCGGGCCAGCCGGGACUGCAGCGCGAAGACACGAGUGCUGUGGUACGCCCAGGUCUGUGCUGGAGCGCUACUGUUGCUCAUAGACACAGUUAUGCGGUCGCGGUGCUUGCGCCGUGAACACAAUGGGGCUUACUCUCGGGCAGCG